UCUAAAGUGUGACAAAAAGGAAGUCAGUCAUCGGCAAAGGCAAAAAAAUACAUCCAAAUGAAAUAACCUGUGAAAUCAAUAGUCUUUUAGGAAGAAGGUAUUAGUUUGUGUGUGUGAGUGCGUGUGUGUGAUUGUGCACAGGUGUGUGUGUGAGGGAGAGAGAUAGCGAGAGAGAGAGAAAGAGAGAAAGCAUCAUUAGAAGUCAUACUUAAACAAUUUGAGAUAAAACAGCAGGUAGGCUUGAGCAAUUUAGACUAUUGAACAUGUAAAGGAAGAACAUAUCUUUCCCCUCAAAGGUUAUGUUAAGUGUUAGGUGCUGGUGUGGAUAGAUAGAUAGAUAGAUAGAUAGAUAGAGAUUAGUUUUAUGUUUUUUCUGUACAGAAUUUGAUGAAGUUUUGCGUUAAUGAAGAUUUAUUGAGCCUAGGGCUAGCAUGUUUAAAGUUUUUGUGGUCAGGGGUUAGUGGGUUAGGGCUAGCA